GUCGAGCGGAGUUGUUUUGAAAGCUUGCUUUCNAAACAACUUAGCGGCGGACGGGUGAGUAACACGUAGGUAACCUGCCUAUAAGACUGGGAUAACUACCGGAAACGGUAGCUAAUACCGGAUAACUUGUUUCUUCUCAUGAAGAGACAAUGAAAGGCGGAGUAAUCUGCCACUUACAGAUGGGCCUGCGGCGCAUUAGCUAGUUGGUGAGGUAACGGCUCACCAAGGCGACGAUGCGUAGCCGACCUGAGAGGGUGAACGGCCACACUGGGACUGAGACACGGCCCAGACUCCUACGGGAGGCAGCAGUAGGGAAUCUUCCGCAAUGGACGAAAGUCUGACGGAGCAAUGCCGCGUGAGUGAUGAAGGUUUUCGGAUCGUAAAGCUCUGUUGCCAGGGAAGAACGCUUGGGAGAGUAACUGCUCUCAAGGUGACGGUACCUGAGAAGAAAGCCCCGGCUAACUACGUGCCAGCAGCCGCGGUAAUACGUAGGGGGCAAGCGUUGUCCGGAAUUAUUGGGCGUAAAGCGCGCGCAGGCGGUCAUUUAAGUUUGGUGUUUAAUCCCGGGGCUCAACCCCGGGUCGCACUGAAAACUGGGUGACUUGAGUACAGAAGAGGAGAGUGGAAUUCCACGUGUAGCGGUGAAAUGCGUAGAUAUGUGGAGGAACACCAGUGGCGAAGGCGACUCUCUGGGCUGUAACUGACGCUGAGGCGCG
rnacentral:rRNA from 1 species